rnacentral:rRNA from 1 species
AAUCAACGCUGGCGGCGUGCCUAACACAUGCAAGUCGAACGCGAAAGCCCCGCAAGGGUGAGUAGAGUGGCAAACGGGUGAGUAACACGUGGGUGAUCUGCCUCAGAGUGGGGGAUAACGACCCGAAAGGUCGCUAAUACCGCAUAACAUCCUGCCUUUGGAUAGGCGGUGAUCAAAGUUGGGGAUUCGCAAGAACCUGACGCUUGGAGAGGAGCCCGNGGCCGAUUAGCAGUUGGUGAGGUAACGGCUCACCAAGGCAACGAUCGGUAUCCGGCCUGAGAGGGCGGACGGACACACUGGGACUGAGACACGGCCCAGACUCCUA